UACGUAGGGUGCAAGCGUUAAUCGGAAUUACUGGGCGUAAAGCGUGCGCAGGCGGUGAUGUAAGCCAGAUGUGAAAUCCCCGGGCUCAACCUGGGAACUGCAUUUGUGACUGCAUGGCUAGAGUACGGUAGAGGGGGAUGGAAUUCCGCGUGUAGCAGUGAAAUGCGUAGAUAUGCGGAGGAACACCGAUGGCGAAGGCAAUCCCCUGGACCUGUACUGACGCUCAUGCACGAAAGCGUGGGGAGCAAACAGG
rnacentral:rRNA from 1 species